UUUAAAGAGGGACAAAACCCCUACUCCUCAGAUUUCUUCAUACCAAACGCCACCUUAUACUCCCUCUCUCUCAUCCCUUUCCCCUAAAAAUGCUAAGGCGCCGCUCCUUCGUUUUCCCUCUCUCAUGCCAGAUAUGGCAAAGACACAGAACUCUCAGACUUUUGACAGUCUUUGCAUAAACCAAAGAGUGAAACAAUUAAUGUUUCAACCUGAUUUCACUCAAAUUCGUCCCAAAUGAGCCAACCUGUUGGGCCUUUGCAAUUCUUUUGCAUCAUCGAGUCCGAGAAAAAAAAAAAAGGGAAGCUAACAUAUGUAUUAAACGCGUAGAAGGCCCAGCCAUGGGUGAAAAUGGCCAACUAGGGGUUUGGUACGCCCCUAGCCUUCCCUUUCCUUUUUUAAUUAGUUAUUUAUGCUUUCCUUUUAUGUUGUAAAGUUGUAUUCAUACUUGUAAGAAAUUGUAAAACUCUAUUAUAGUGGAAUCUUUAUGAUUACGAACUAGCCAUCUUAGGAAAA